UCGCACGCGUCUUGGUUAUUGAUGUUGGAUGCUUGCAUUUAACUGAUUUAACAUUGAGACGAGUGGCGAACUGGUGAGUAACACGUGGGUAACCUGCCCUUGAAGUAGGGGAUAACACUUGGAAACAGGUGCUAAUACCGUAUAACAACCAAAACCACCUGGUUUUGGUUUAAAAGAUGGCUUCGGCUAUCACUUUAGGAUGGACCCGCGGCGUAUUAGCUUGUUGGUAAGGUAACGGCCUACCAAGGCAAUGAUACGUAGCCGACCUGAGAGGGUAAUCGGCCACAUUGGGACUGAGACACGGCCCAAACUCCUACGGGAGGCAGCAGUAGGGAAUCUUCCACAAUGGACGAAAGUCUGAUGGAGCAACGCCGCGUGAGUGAUGAAGGGUUUCGGCUCGUAAAACUCUGUUGUUGGAGAAGAACAGGUGUGAGAGUAACUGUUCACAUCUUGACGGUAUCCAACCAGAAAGCCACGGCUAACUACGUGCCAGCAGCCGCGGUAAUACGUAGGUGGCAAGCGUUGUCCGGAUUUAUUGGGCGUAAAGCGAGCGCAGGCGGUUUCUUAGGUCUGAUGUGAAAGCCUUCGGCUUAACCGGGAGAAGUGCAUCGGAAACCAGGAGACUUGAGUGCAGA
rnacentral:rRNA from 1 species